CCUACGGGUGGCUGCAGUGAGGAAUAUUGGGCAAUGGGCGCGAGCCUGAACCAGCCAAGUCGCGUGAGGGAUGACGGUCCUACGGAUUAUAAACCUCUUUUGCCGGGGAGCAAGCGUGCGUUCGUGAACGCGCGUCGAGAGUACCCGGAGAAAAAGCAUCGGCUAACUCCGUGCCAGCAGCCGCGGUAAUCAGGAGGAUGCGAGCGUUAUCGGGAUUUAUUGGGUGAAAGGGGUGCGUAGGCGGGAUGCCAAGUCAGCGGUAAAAAUGCGGUGCUCAACGCGGUCGAGCCGUUGAAACUGGCGUUCUUGAGUGGGCGAGAGGUAUGCGGAAUGCGGGGUGUAGGGGUGAAAUGCAUAGAUAUCACGAAGAACUCCGAUUGCGAAGGCAGCAUACCGGCGCCCUACUGACGCUGAGGCACGAAAGCGUGGGUAUCGAACAGGAUUAGAUACCCCGGUAGUC
rnacentral:rRNA from 1 species